GUGCCCGGCCUCCGGCAACUGCCCCGGCCGCCGGGUGGGAGGGGUGGGUCCGGGGACGUCGCGGCGGCCGUGGCCGCGAACCCUGCACGCAGGGCAGUCCUCCUCCGCCGCCUCAGAUGAUGGGUCCCGAGGAUGCCGGAGCCUGCUCGGGAAGGAACGCCGAGCUGCUCCCAGUCCCGGGGCCCAUGGGUCAGGACGGGAAGACCGUCCCGGCCACCAGCGGCUUUAGCGGAGGCGCUGUCGCCGCGGAGCCGCCGGAGGAGGCUGGAGAGGAGGAGGCGCCGCCGCCGCGGCAGCUCCUGCAGCGGUACCUCGCGGCGGCCGCGGGCCCGCUGAAGCCCGGGCUCGGCGGGGCGGAGGCGGAGGCGGAGGAGGCGGCGGCGGCAGCAGUCCCCGCGGCGCGCGGCUCAGGCAUGACCAACGGAGACUCGGGCUUUUUGCUGCGCCAGGACCGUCGCGGCCCAGAGGAGGCACGUCGCCGCCGAACCUGCGGCCGUCCCUGCCUGCUGGAGCCCGCGGACGAGGGCGUGGACGGUGCGGGUGGCCUGGACGACUGGGCCGCGCCGCUCGAGGACCCGCUGCGGAGCUGCUGCCUGGCGGCCGGGGACACGGACGACCCGGACCCCGCAGCCGCCACCCCUGCCGGGAGGGCCGUCGAGAGCGCGGAGCCCAGCCUCGGCCUCCCCGACGCCCGCUUCGGCUCUCGGAACACGUUCGAGGUGAGCCGCCGUCAGAGCGCCGGCGACCUCCUGCCCUCAGCGGGGCCGUCCGCACCCUUGCCAGCGGCAGAGCAGGGUCCCGGGGGCACCACGGCUCGGGCUCGACGGAGCGGUGGCUUCGCGGAUUUCUUCGCCAGGUCGUGAGGAAGAUGAAGCCUGGGAGGCAUGGAACCGUGCUUACAAAUGUGAGCUGCUGCUAGAGAAUGAAUGUGAGGAGGUUUAGAGAGAAAGACUUGCUGGGAAGAGUGAAUGAUAGAAACCUUUUCCCAAAAAGGACAAAGGAACUCAAAUCAGUUGUCCAUAGUGCUCCUGGCUGGAAGUUAUUUGGUAAAGUCCCUCCCAGAGAAAAUCUUCAGAAAACCUCCAAAAUUAUUCAGCAGGAGUACGAAGCUCGCACAGGGAGGACCUGUAAAGCAGCCCCCCAGUCUUCACGACGCAAGAGCUUUGCGCUGGAGCCACUUUCUACCACUGCCCUGAUUCUGGAGGACCGACCACCGAAUCUUCCUGCGAAAUCUGUGGAAGAAGCGCUGCGUCACCGGCAGGAGUAUGAUGAGAUGGUGGCCGAAGCUAAAAAACGAGAAAUUAAAGAAGCACAUAAAAGAAAAAGAAUAAUGAAAGAACGAUUUAAGCAGGAAGAAAGCAUUGCAAGUGCAAUGGUAAUUUGGAUCAAUGAAAUACUGCCCAAUUGGGAAGUAAUGCGUAGUACCAGAAGAGUUCGAGAAUUGUGGUGGCAGGGAUUGCCCCCUAGUGUCCGUGGGAAAGUUUGGAGUCUAGCUGUAGGAAAUGAACUAAAUAUCACUCCUGAACUUUAUGAAAUCUUUCUUUCAAGAGCAAAAGAACGUUGGAAAAGCUUCAGUGAAUCAAGUUCUGAGAACGACACGGAAGGUCUAUCUGUUGCUGACCGAGAGGCUAGUCUGGAAUUAAUUAAGUUGGACAUAUCCCGUACAUUUCCAUCUCUCUACAUCUUUCAGAAGGGUGGCCCAUAUCACGAUGUUUUGCAUAGUAUCUUAGGGGCAUAUACAUGUUACAGACCUGAUGUUGGUUAUGUCCAGGGGAUGUCCUUCAUCGCAGCCGUUCUCAUCCUCAAUCUGGAGGAAGCAGACGCCUUCAUUGCGUUCGCGAAUCUCCUAAACAAGCCGUGCCAACUGGCCUUUUUCCGAGUGGAUCACAGCAUGAUGUUGAAGUAUUUUGCAACAUUUGAAGUAUUCUUUGAGGAAAACCUAUCCAAACUAUUUCUUCAUUUCAAGUCGUAUAAUCUGACACCAGAUAUAUAUUUGAUAGAUUGGAUCUUCACAUUGUACAGCAAAUCACUGCCACUUGAUCUGGCUUGUCGAGUCUGGGAUGUGUUUUGUAGAGAUGGGGAGGAAUUUUUAUUUAGGACUGGAUUAGGGAUCCUCCGGCUAUAUGAAGAUAUACUCCUACAGAUGGACUUUAUUCAUAUAGCACAAUUUCUUACCAAAUUGCCAGAAGAUAUAACAUCAGAAAAGCUUUUCAGCUGCAUCGCAGCCAUUCAGAUGCAGAAUAGCACCAAGAAAUGGACUCAGGUCUUUGCAUCUGUAGCAAAGGACAUUAAAGAAGGGGACAAGAACACCAGCCCUGCUCUGAAGAGCUAACCUUUGAGUUAGUGACAAACUGAAAUGCAAAAGGUAGUUUUCGGGGAAAGUUUUCUCUUUCCUAUGUAGAUACCGUGAAGAAAUGUCGGAGAGAAGAAUCGGGACCUGGAAAAACUUCUGGGUUUAAAUUCCACGGCUGAAGUAAAUGAAACGCGUAAUUUAUUGACAGUAUUAAUAAAAAAGUACCUGUGGAGAGCCAUUUUUCAGAGGAAAAGGCUUAGUUGGCUAUUACAUACUCCAUAAUUUGGAGUGAAUACUUUAAUGCAAUAAUUUUUUUUAAAAAAAAUAGCUUCACAGAAACUUCAAUUUUUAUGUCGUUUCUUUUUUAACAAUUAACUACAAAUGCACUUCUGGAGUCAGAAUAGGAUUGCUAAAUCCUACUUUAGUCUCCAAAAAUGAUAGAACACAUGUAUUAUCUCCAGUUCUGAGCUUGGGAAGAUAUUCUAGACCAGUAGUAAGCAACUGAGUCGUAAGUUCCGUCCGCCACUGGAGCUCUUGCCUGCCUUGCUCGCAGGCCAGGGAGGUCCGCAUCCUCGAGAACUGGAACACUGGUGGACAUGAUUGCCUGUUUUGCUUAUGGAGUUUCCCACAGUGUUGUGUCCCCUUGGUUUUUGAAGAGAAAUCUUUCUCUAAGUAAUUUCUAUCACAAAAGAAUUUUCGCCUUAUUGUUUCUUGUCUGCAAAUUGUUAUGUAGUAACUUAACAUUAAAAAAACUAGGUAACUGGUAGAAAGGAAGAUCUUUUUGCACUUUAGAGGACUGAAGACUUGACUUUGAGAAUAAGAAUAAGAAAGCAAUGAAUUCUAAGAGUUCGAGAUAACACACUACUUACAAGACUUGAAUUUUUUAGUUAAAAUCCAUGUUCUAUCUAUAGAAACAAAUUUUAUUAAUUUCAGUUUGAAAUUUAAAACUUUAUAUAGCUAAGUCUAAGACUUGUGAAACUCUAUGCAUAUUUUUUUCUAAUUGAUGGGAAUAAUAGUAAAAGUAAUUUUACCUUUUUUCUUAGUCUAAUGGCAUCUCAGAUAAACUAUUAAUCAUUGGUAAAUUGACAUUAAAUUUAUUACUCUUAAUUUCUUAACCUAACCUAAAUCAUUUGAGUAUUAUGGUUAAUAUCAGUAUAAAAUACUAUUUGGUUAUUGAUUAGAUUUAUACUGUUCUGAUGUUGCAAUUUGGUUUGAAACAACAUAGAAGCACACAUUUCUGUUAGUAGUGGACAUACAUAUAUAUAGUCUUUAGACUAACAAGCCAGAGAUUCUUCCUUAUUGGAUAAUAAACUGCCUUAGGAGUAUGGGACCAGAGGAAGUGCAUAUAUUUUUACCCUAUGGGUUGAUCAUUCUAGCCUCAGGAACCCUGUAGAAUUAACUCCUGUCAUAGGGGCUAGCUCAGUGAAACUGGUAGUAUAAUAAAACAGUGAGGGAGUUUCUAGAGUCUUAAUAGGUUCUAGCAUGAGGACUAUCCCUUAAUAUUGGUGUCUCUCAUAAAAGGCACAUAACCUCCGGGAGUAAUCUCAUUGAAUUUAUAUUACUUGGCCUAGAUUUAAUCUUAUUUUCAUGUAUUAGUUUGCUAAGGUGGUCCUACACUCUGCAUUUCUUUCCCUUAUUUUUUUUAUUGUACAGUUUCUUUACCUACCAAGUAUAAAUGUGUAUAUAAAAUGUAAAUACAAGAAAUUCACUAAAAUCCACUAGUAACAAUUACUAUGAAAAAUAAAACUUGUACACAGAA